UACGAAGGGAGCUAGCGUUAUCCGGAAUGAUUGGGCGUAAAGCGUCCGCAGGUGGCAAUGUAAGUCUGCUGUUAAAGAGUCUAGCUCAACUAGAUAAGAGCAGUGGAAACUACAUAGCUAGAGUACGUUCGGGGCAGAGGGAAUUCCUGGUGUAGCGGUGAAAUGCGUAGAGAUCAGGAAGAACACCAGUGGCGAAGGCGCUCUGCUAGGCCGUAACUGACACUGAGGGACGAAAGCGUGGGGAGCAAACGGG
rnacentral:rRNA from 1 species